rnacentral:rRNA from 1 species
UAUUGGACAAUGGGGGGAACCCUGAUCCAGCGACGCCGCGUGAGUGAAGAAGGAGUUCGGUAUGUAAAGCUCUAUCAGCAGGGAAGAAAGAAAUGACGGUACCUGACGAAGAAGCCCCGGAUAACUACGUGACAGCAGCCCCGGUAAUACGUAGGGGGCAAGCGUUAUCCGGAUUUACUGGGCGUAAAGGGAGCGUAGACGGCGAUGCAAGUCUGAAGUGAAAGGCGGGGGCCCAACCCCCGGACUGCUUUGGAAACUGUAUGGCUGGAGUGCAGGAGAGGUAAGUGGAAUUCCUAGUGUAGCGGUGAAAUGCGUAGAUAUUAGGAGGAACACCAGUGGCGAAGGCGGCUUACUGGACUGUAACUGACGUUGAGGCUCGAAAGCGUGGGGAGCA